AUUGAACGCUGGCGGCAUGCUUUACACAUGCAAGUCGAACUGCAGCGCGGGCUUCGGCCUGGCGGCGAGUGGCGAACGGGUGAGUAAUGCAUCGGAACGUGCCCAGUAGUGGGGGAUAGCCCGGCGAAAGCCGGAUUAAUACCGCAUACGACCUGAGGGUGAAAGCGGGGGACCGAAAGGCCUCGCGCUAUUGGAGCGGCCGAUGUCGGAUUAGCUAGUUGGUGGGGUAAAGGCUUACCAAGGCGACGAUCCGUAGCUGGUCUGAGAGGACGACCAGCCACACUGAGACUGAGACACGGCCCAGACUCCUACGGGAGGCAGCAGUGGGGAAUUUUGGACAAUGGGGGCAACCCUGAUCAAGCCAUGCCGCGUGCGGGAAGAAGGCCUGCGGGUUGUAAGCCGCUUUUGUUCGGGAAGAAAUCCUCUGGGCUAAUACCCCGGGGGAUGACGGUACCGGAAGAAUAAGCACCGGCUAACUACGUG
rnacentral:rRNA from 1 species